UAGGGAAUCUUCCGCAAUGGGCGAAAGCUUGACGGAGCAACGCCGCGUGAGUGAUGAAGGUCUUCGGAUCGUAAAACUCUGUUAUUAGGGAAGAACAAAUGUGUAAGUAACUAUGCACGUCUUGACGGUACCUAAUCAGAAAGCCACGGCUAACUACGUGCCAGCAGCCGCGGUAAUACGUAGGUGGCAAGCGUUAUCCGGAAUUAUUGGGCGUAAAGCGCGCGUAGGCGGUUUUUUAAGUCUGAUGUGAAAGCCCACGGCUCAACCGUGGAGGGUCAUUGGAAACUGGAAAGCUUGAGUGCAGAAGAGGAAAGUGGAAUUCCAUGUGUAGCGGUGAAAUGCGCAGGGAUAUGGAGGAACACCAGUGGCGAAGGCGACUUUCUGGUCUGUAACUGACGCUGAUGUGCGAAAGCGUGGGGAUCAAACAGG
rnacentral:rRNA from 1 species